rnacentral:rRNA from 1 species
UACGUAGGGGGCAAGCGUUGUCCGGAAUCAUUGGGCGUAAAGAGCGUGUAGGCGCCAGAAAAGUCCGCUGUGAAAACUCGAGGCUCAACUUCGAGCUGUCGGUGGAAACUUUCUGGCUAGAGUCCGGAAGAGGAGAAUGGAAUUCCUGGUGUAGCGGUGAAAUGCGCAGAUAUCAGGAAGAACACCCGGUGGCGAAGGCGGGUCUCUGGGCCGGAUAUGACGCUGAGGAGCGAAGACGUGGGGAGCGAACAGG